rnacentral:rRNA from 1 species
ACCGGCUWACCUACCUUGNCAACAACCCCGCGGUAAAAACGUUAGGGUUCCAAGCGUUUAAUCGGGAAUUUACUGGGCCGUAAAGCGUGCGCCAGGCGGUUUUUGUUAAGUCAAGAUGUGAAAUCCCCCGGGCUCAACCUGGGAAUUGCAUUUGAGACUSCACGGCUAGAGUGUGUCAGAGGGGGGUAGAAUUCCACGUGUAGCAGUGAAAUGCGUAGAUAUGUGGAGGAAUACCGACGGCGAAGGCAGCCCCCUGGGAUAACACUGACGCUCAUGCACGAAAGCGUGGGGAGCAMACAGGAUUAGAUACCCUGGUAGUCCACGCCCUAAACGAUGUCUACUAGUUGUCGGGUCUUAAUUGACUUGGUAACGCAGCUAACGCGUGAAGUAGACCGCCUGGGGAGUACGGUCGCAAGAUUAAAACUCAAAGGAAUUGACGGGGACCCGCACAAGCGGUGGAUGAUGUGGAUUAAUUCGAUGCAACGCGAAAAACCUUACCUACCCUUGACAUGGAUGGAAUCCCGAAGAGAUUUGGGAGUGCUCGAAAGAGAACCAUCACACAGGUGCUGCAUGGCUGUCGUCAGCUCGUGUCGUGAGAUGUUGGGUUAAGUCCCGCAACGAGCGCAACCCUUGUCAUUAGUUGCUACGAAAGGGCACUCUAAUGAGACUGCCGGUGACAAACCGGAGGAAGGUGGGGAUGACGUCAAGUCCUCAUGGCCCUUAUGGGUAGGGCUUCACACGUCAUACAAUGGUACAUACAGAGGGCCGCCAACCCGCGAGGGGGAGCUAAUCCCAGAAAGUGUAUCGUAGUCAGGAUUGGAGUCUGCAACUCGACUCCAUGAAGUUGGAAUCGCUAGUAAUCGCGGAUCAGCAUGUCGCGUGAUAGUUCCC